ACGAGACCUCAGGUCAGGCGGGGCUACCCCGCUGAAUUUAAGCAUAUCAAUAAGCGGGAGGAAAA
rnacentral:rRNA from 1 species